rnacentral:rRNA from 1 species
UACUGAGGGGGCAAGCGUUGUUCGGAAUUACUGGGCGUAAAGCGCGCGUAGGCGGUUUGAUAGGCGGAGUGUGAAAUCCCCGGGCUUAACCUGGGAACUGCAUUCCGAACUGUCGAGCUAGAGUAUGAGAGAGGGUGGCGGAAUUCCGAGUGUAGCGGUGAAAUGCGCAGAUAUUCGGAGGAACACCAGUGGCGAAGGCGGCCACCUGGAUCAAUACUGACGCUGAGGCGCGAAAGCGUGGGUAGCAAACAGG